GGGACAAGCCAAUUUGCUUGCUUAGAGUUACUUCAAAAGAGAAGGUUAUGAAGAUGAUGGAAAUAGAAUCUUCAAGUUCAAGACUCUACAUCUUAGGGGACUCAACGACCUUCAUGAUUGAACUAAAGCACCAUUGACAAGACUCGGGUUCAGGAUAUUACAGUGAGCUAGAAGAUGAAGCUUCAUGCAACAUUUCAAGGACUUUGCAGUUGCAGAUCCAAC
rnacentral:lncRNA from 1 species